rnacentral:rRNA from 1 species
GAAAGGAGUAAUCCGCUGAUAGAUGGGCUUGCGUCUGAUUAGUUAGUUGGUGGGGUAACGGCCUACCAAGACUACGAUCAGUAGCCGGACUGAGAGGUUGAACGGCCACAUUGGGACUGAGAUACGGCCCAGACUCCUACGGGAGGCAGCAGUCGGGAAUAUUGCGCAAUGGAGGAAACUCUGACGCAGUGACGCCGCGUAUAGGAAGAAGGUUUUCGGAUUGUAAACUAUUGUCAUUAGGGAAGAUAAAAGACUGUACCUAAGGAGGAAGCCCCGGCUAACUAUGUGCCAGCAGCCGCGGUAAUACAUAGGGGGCAAGCGUUAUCCGGAAUUAUUGGGUGUAAAGGGUGCGUAGACGGAAGAACAAGUUGGUUGUGAAAUCCCUCGGCUCAACUGAGGAACUGCAACCAAAACUAUUCUCCUUGAGUGUCGGAGAGGAAAGUGGAAUUCCUAGUGUAGCGGUGAAAUGCGUAGAUAUUAGGAGGAACACCAGUGGCGAAGGCGACUUUCUGGACGAUAACUGACGUUGAGGCACGAAAGUGUGGGGAGCAAACAGGAUUAGAUACCCUGGUAGUCCACACUGUAAACGAUGGAUACUAGGUGUAGGAUGUAUUAAGCAUUCU